rnacentral:rRNA from 1 species
UACGUAGGGUGCGAGCGUUAAUCGGAAUUACUGGGCGUAAAGCGUGCGCAGGCGGUUUUGUAAGUCAGAUGUGAAAUCCCCGGGCUCAACCUGGGAACUGCGUUUGAAACUGCAAGGCUAGAGUAUGGGAGAGGGAGGUAGAAUUCCACGUGUAGCAGUGAAAUGCGUAGAGAUGUGGAGGAAUACCAAUGGCGAAGGCAGCCUCCUGGCCUAAUACUGACGCUCAUGCACGAAAGCGUGGGGAGCAAACAGG